rnacentral:rRNA from 1 species
UACAGAGGGGGCAAGCGUUGUUCGGAAUUACUGGGCGUAAAGGGCGCGUAGGCGGCCCGCUAAGUCGAACGUGAAAUCCCCGAGCUCAACUCGGGAACUGCGUCCGAUACUGGCGGGCUUGAAUCCGGGAGAGGGAUGCGGAAUUCCAGGUGUAGUGGUGAAAUGCGUAGAUAUCGGGAGGAACACCAGUGGCGAAGGCGACUACCUGGCCUGUUCUUGACGCUGAGGCGCGAAAGCUAGGGGAGCAAACGGG